rnacentral:rRNA from 1 species
GAUGAACGCUGGCGGCGUGCCUAAUACAUGCAAGUCGAGCGAACGGACGAGAAGCUUGCUUCUCUGAUGUUAGCGGCGGACGGGUGAGUAACACGUGGAUAACCUACCUAUAAGACUGGGAUAACUUCGGGAAACCGGAGCUAAUACCGGAUAAUAUUUUGAACCGCAUGGUUCAAUAGUGAAAGACGGUUUUGCUGUCACUUAUAGAUGGAUCCGCGCGGCAUUAGCUAGUUGGUAAGGUAACGGCUUACCAAGGCAACGAUGCAUAGCCGACCUGAGAGGGUGAUCGGCCACACUGGAACUGAGACACGGUCCAGACUCCUACGGGAGGCAGCAGUAGGGAAUCUUCCGCAAUGGGCGAAAGCCUGACGGAGCAACGCCGCGUGAGUGAUGAAGGUCUUCGGAUCGUAAAACUCUGUUAUUAGGGAAGAACAAAUGUGUAAGUAACUGUGCACAUCUUGACGGUACCUAAUCAGAAAGCCACGGCUAACUACGUG